AACACCGGCAGCCCGAGUGGUGAUCACUAUUAUUGGGUCUAAAGGGUCCGUAGCCGGUUUAAUCAGUCUUCUGGGAAAUCUAAUCGCUUAACUAUUAGGCUUCCAGGGGAUACUGUUAGACUUGGGACCGGGAGAGGUAAGAGGUACUGCAGGGGUAGGAGUGAAAUCUUGUAAUCCCUGUGAGACCACCAGUGGCGAAGGCGUCUUACCAGAACGGGUCCGACGGUGAGGGACGAAAGCUGGGGGCACGAACCGGAUUAGAUACCCGGGUAGUCCCAGCUGUAAACGAUGCUCGUUAGGUGUCAGGAACGGUGCGACUGUUUCUGGUGCCGAAGGGAAGCCGUGAAACGAGCCACCUGGGAAGUACGGCCGCAAGGCUGAAACUUAAAGGAAUUGGCGGGGGAGCACUACAACGGGUGGAGCCUGCGGUUUAAUUGGACUCAACGCCGGAAAACUCACCGGGGGCGACAGCAAUAUGUAGGUCAGGUUAAAGGUCUUACCUGAAUCGCUGAGAGGAGGUGCAUGGCCGUCGUCAGUUCGUACUGUGAAGCAUCCUGUUAAGUCAGGCAACGAGCAAGACCCGUGCCCACUGUUACCAGCAUAUCCUUUAUGGAUGAUGGGGACUCUGUGGGGACCGCUGCUGCUAAAGCAGAGGAAGGUGCGGGCUACGGUAGGUCAGUAUGCCCCGAAUCUCCCGGGCUACACGCGGGCUACAAUGGUUGGGACAAUGGGUAUCUACUCCGAGAGGAGUUGGCAACCUCUUAAACCCAAUCGUAGUUCGAAUUGAGGGCUGUAACUCGCCCUCAUGAAGCUGGAAUCCGUAGUAAUCGCGUUUCAACAUAGCGCGGU
rnacentral:rRNA from 1 species